rnacentral:tRNA from 1 species
GGAGCAGUGGCCGAGUGGUCGAAGGCGCACGCCUGGAAAGUGUGUAUACGGCAAAACCGUAUCGAGGGUUCGAAUCCCUCCUGCUCCG